rnacentral:rRNA from 1 species
GUGGGGAAUCUUGGACAAUGGGCGCAAGCCUGAUCCAGCCAUGCCGCGUGAGUGAAGAAGGCCUUAGGGUUGUAAAACUCUUUCGCCGGUGAAGAUAAUGACGGUAACCGGAGAAGAAGCCCCGGCUAACUUCGUGCCAGCAGCCGCGGUAAUAUGAAGGGGGCUAGCGUUGUUCGGAAUUACUGGGCGUAAAGCGCACGUAGGCGGGUUUGUAAGUAGGGGGUGAAAUCCCAGGGCUCAACCCUGGAACUGCCUUCUAGACUGCAAGCCUGGAGGUCAGGAGAGGCGAGUGGAAUACCGAGUGUAGAGGUGAAAUUCGUAGAUAUUCGGUGGAACACCAGUGGCGAAGGCGACUCGCUGGACUGAUACUGACGCUGAGGUGCGAAAGCGUGGGGAGCAAACAGGAUUAGAAACCCCGGUAGUCC